GAAGCCGGUGAAGCUGGAGGUGUUCAACAUGAAGACCAUGAGGGUGCGAGAGGUGGAGGUGGUGCCCAGCAACAUGUGGGGCGGCCAGGGCCUGCUGGGAGCUAGCGUGCGCUUCUGCAGCUUCCGCAGGGCCAGCGAGCACGUGUGGCAUGUGCUGGAUGUGGAGCCCUCUUCACCCGCUGCCUUGGCCGGCCUGCGCCCUUACACAGACUACAUUGUUGGCUCUGACCAGAUCCUCCAGGAGUCGGAAGACUUCUUCACUCUCAUUGAGUCCCAUGAGGGAAAGCCCCUGAAGCUGAUGGUUUAUAACUCUGAAUCCGACUCCUGCCGGGAGGUGACUGUGACCCCCAAUGCAGCCUGGGGUGGAGAGGGCAGUCUGGGGUGUGGUAUUGGUUACGGGUACCUGCACCGGAUCCCAACGCAGCCCUCCAGCCAGUACAAGAAGCCACCCAGUGCCUCAUCACCUGGCACUCCAGCUAAGACCCCACAACCUAAUGCCUUUCCUCUUGGUGCCCCACCACCUUGGCCCAUCCCUCAGGACUCUUCUGGCCCAGGUGGACCACCUGCCCCGGCUGACUCUCCCUGAUGGCCUCACGUCUGCAGCUUCACCAGAAGAAGGGCUGUCUGCAGAACUGCUGGAAGCACAGACCGAGGAACCAGCAGACACAGCCAGCCUGGAUUGCAUGGCAGAGACUGAGGGGCCAGCCGGCCAAGUCCAGGCUGCCCCAGAUCCAGAGCCUGGGUUGUGAGAAGGCCCCUGGUGACAUUUGGUGUUCCUUAGCUGUGUAGCUCUCUAGGCUGCAGCCUCUAACGAGGCAUGGGCUUUGCUAGAGUUCACAUGUAGUCCUGGAUUGAAAGGAACAGAACACUGGAGCAAUGUCCGGCUUCUAUAGAGGCAGGAGAUGGAUCUAGAUGUGUCUGUGAAGCACUGGCACCUUCCCGGGAGGGAGAGGCUGCAGGCCCGACACAAUGUCCAUAUGAAGAUGGGGUGGGGGACAAGAGGCUGUGUCCACAAGCGGCCACACUGGUACUGAGGAGCACCCCGAAUCCCAAUGCCCUUCCUCAUUCUAAUCCUUACACUGGAUGAGAGAGGCAGUAUACUUGGCCACUUGAUUUCUAGGAUGGAAGAUUCUGGGCCCUUCAGAGGGACCUGCCUCUGCUAGCUGUACACUAGCCUCAGGGGAGGUGGAAGGGAGCAGACACUCCAGUUCUUCUCUCCUGUGAUCUCUCAGCCCUCCCUCACGUGCGGACAGCAGGCUCCGAGUACACAAGGUACAGCUGGUUCUGAUGGUAAACAGGUCAGGCUUUGCUUACCAUCAACCCCCCCUACUCAGCCCUUCUCGUCUGGACUUCUGGGUAAAGCCCCCUCCCAUCUGUCCUCAGUGUACGGGAAAGGGGCCUUGAGAGGCUCAGGCUCUGAGAGGACGUCUGUGCUGCUGCCUUACUGCAGAUGGCACCAGCCAUGUCUUCUGCAGCUCCAGUCCUGUGUCCUUGCUAAUCGUCUCCCACCUCCACAGACCAUGGAGCUGCCUAGGUUGUUAAGCCAAGGACUCUGUUUAGGAAGCACAGGGCAAGUAGUACAGUGGGCGGACACGACCCCAUGCACUAGGAAUACAUUUAUAGCCGGGCCCGUGAGGCCCCCAGAGCCACUAAGGCCUGCAGUUGUACAGCAUGGGUUACCACAGGGCUGCUCUGUGGUGAGCACCCUGACCCCCAGCUGUCCUUGCUGGAGGGGUCUGCUCCCUGGGACACUGUAAGUGGGGUGAGAUGGAUGCUGAUGCUGUUUCAAGAGUGAACCCCAGAUGUUUCUUUCCCUGUAAUCUGCUGUGGGAAGUGACAAGUGACCGAAUAAACAAGUCCAGCACACUGAGAUGUUUGUAACUAAAGCUUUAUUCUAUACGACUUGAAAUACAGAUUCUGACCCUU
rnacentral:lncRNA from 1 species